CCAUUAACUAUUUAAAGUUUCGUUUUGGUCCUUUAACUUACUUUUUGGUUUCAUUUUGGUUCCUUAACUUAUUUUUUUGUCCCUUAACUCUAAUACAUUCAUCCUAACAUAAACGACUAAAGUGGUUGACGGAGGAAGAGUUAAGGGACCAAAACGAAACCAAAAAGUAAGUUAAAGGACCAAAACGAAACUUUUAAUAGUUAAGGGACUAAAACGAAACCAAAAAGUAAGUUAAGGGACCAAAACGAAACUUUUAAUAGUUAAGGGA
rfam:Medicago truncatula strain A17 chromosome 1, whole genome shotgun sequence.